AGGUGCGAUCAUACCGUCACUAAUGCACUGGAUCCCAUCAGAAUUCCACAGUUAAGCGCGCUUGGCCGAGAGUAGUACUAGGAUGGGUGACCUCCUAGGAAGUCCUCGUGUUGCACCUC
rfam:Lupinus angustifolius cultivar Tanjil contig_1836, whole genome shotgun sequence.